CUUUCCCUCUUUCCCCCUGCCUUCCCCCUGCACGUCGACCGGUAACGGGCCUUCGGGUGCCGUCGAGUGGAGAACGGGUGAGUAAUACAUCGGAACGUGCCCGAUCGUGGGGGAUAACGAGGCGAAAGCUUUGCUAAUACCGCAUACGAUCUACGGAUGGAAGCAGGGAACCGCAAGGCCUUGCGCGGACGGCACGACCGAUGGCAGAUUAGGUAGUUGGUGGGAUAAAAGCUUACCAAGCCGACGAUCUGUAGCUGGUCUGAGAGGAUGAUCAGCCACACUGGGACUGAGACACGGCCCAGACUCCUACGGGAGGCAGCAGUGGGGAAUUUUGGACAAUGAGCGCAAGCCUGAUCCAGCCAUGCCGCGUGCAGGAUGAAGGCCUUCGGGUUGUAAACUGCUUUGGUACGGAACGAAAAGCCUUCUUUUAAUACAGGAGGGUCAUGACGGUACCGUAAGAAUAAGCACGGGCUAACUAGGUG
rnacentral:rRNA from 1 species